rnacentral:rRNA from 1 species
UACGUAGGGAGCAAGCGUUGUCCGGAAUCAUUGGGCGUAAAGCGCGCGUAGGCGGCCCUGUAAGUCCGUUGUGAAAGUCAAAAGGCUCAACCUUUUGAAAGCCGAUGGAUACUGCAGGGCUAGAGUCCGGAAGAGGCGAGUGGAAUUCCUGGUGUAGCGGUGGAAUGCGCAGAUAUCAGGAGGAACACCAAUAGCGAAGGCAGCUCGCUGGGACGGUACUGACGCUAAGGCGCGAAAGCGUGGGGAGCGAACAGG